CCUACGGGAGGCUGCAGUAGGGAAUAUUGCUCAAUGGGGGAAACCCUGAAGCAGCAACGCCGCGUGGAGGAUGAAGGUUUUCGGAUUGUAAACUCCUUUUGUUAGAGAAGAGAAUGACGGUAUCUAACGAAUAAACACCGGCUAACUCCGUGCCAGCAGCCGCGGUAAUACGGAGGGUGCAAGCGUUACUCGGAAUCACUGGGCGGAAAGAGCGCGUAGGCGGGAUAGCAAGUCAGAUGUGAAAUCCUAUGGCUUAACCAUAGAACUGCAUUUGAAACUGUUAUUCUAGAGUAUGGGAGAGGUAGGUGGAAUUCUUGGUGUAGGGGUAAAAUCCGUAGAGAUCAAGAGGAAUACUCAUUGCGAAGGCGACCUGCUAGAACAUAACUGACGCUGAUGCGCGAAAGCGUGGGGAGCAAACAGGAUUAGAUACCCCAGUAGUC
rnacentral:rRNA from 1 species